UACAGGGGGUGCAAACGUUGCUCGGAAUUAUUGGGCGUAAAGCGCGCGUAGGCGGCUACUUAUGUCGGAUGUGAAAGCCCUUGGCUCAACUGAGGAAGUGCACCCGAAACUGAGUAGCUGGAGUACGAAAGAGGGUCGCGGAAUUCCCGGUGUAGAGGUGAAAUUCGUAGAUAUCGGGAGGAACACCGGUGGCGAAGGCGGCGACCUGGGUCGAUACUGACGCUGAUGCGCGAAAGCGUGGGGAGCAAACAGG
rnacentral:rRNA from 1 species